rnacentral:rRNA from 1 species
CCCUACGGGGCGCAGCAGUAGGGAAUCUUCCACAAUGGACGAAAGUCUGAUGGAGCAACGCCGCGUGAGUGAAGAAGGGUUUCGGCUCGUAAAGCUCUGUUGGUAGUGAAGAAAGAUAGAGGUAGUAACUGGCCUUUAUUUGACGGUAAUUACUUAGAAAGUCACGGCUAACUACGUGCCAGCAGCCGCGGUAAUACGUAGGUGGCAAGCGUUGUCCGGAUUUAUUGGGCGUAAAGCGAGUGCAGGCGGUUCAAGAAGUCUGAUGUGAAAGACUUCGGGUCAACCGGAGAAGUGCAACAGGAAAA